UACGGAGGGGGCUAGCGUUGUUCGGAAUUACUGGGCGUAAAGCGCGCGUAGGCGGACCUGCAAGUCGGGGGUGAAAGCCCGAGGCUCAACCUCGGAACUGCCUUCGAUACUGCGGGUCUCGAGUCCGGGAGAGGUGAGUGGAAUUCCUAGUGUAGAGGUGAAAUUCGUAGAUAUUGGGAAGAACACCAGUGGCGAAGGCGGCUCACUGGCCCGCAACUGACGCUGAGGCGCGAAAGCGUGGGGAGCAAACAGG
rnacentral:rRNA from 1 species